rnacentral:rRNA from 1 species
GUCCACACGGUAAACGAUGGAUACUCGCUGUUGGCGAUAUACAGUCAGCGGCUUAGCGAAGCGUUAAGUAUCCCACCUGGGAGUACGCCGGCAACGGUGAAACUCAAAGGAAUUGACGGGGCCCGCACAAGCGGAGGAACAUGUGGUUUAAUUCGAUGAUACGCGAGGAACCUUACCCGGGCUUAAAUUGCAAAGGAAUGAUCUGGAAACAGGUCAGUCUUCGGACCUUUGUGAAGGUGCUGCAUGGUUGUCGU